AUGGCGGUGGUGAGCGCCGCGCACGGCGCCUUUGGGCCCCUGCUCGGGAAGCUCACGGCCUUGCUCGCCGACGAGUGCGGCCGGCUGAAAGGGGUCCGCCGCGAGAUCCGCUCCCUCAGAUCCGAGCUCGCCAGCAUGCACGCCGCGCUCAAGGAGUACACCAAGCUGGACGACCCCAACCACCAGGUCAAGGCCUGGAUCUCGCUGGUCAGGGAGCUGGCCUACGACACCGAGGACGUCUUCGACAAGUUCAUCCACCACCUCGGCGACAGCCAAGACCAUGGCGGAUUCAAGGACUUGUUCCGCAAGACCGUUCGCCGUCUCAAGACACUUGGAGCCAGGCACGGAAUCGCCGGCGAGAUCCACGACCUCAAGGACCGCAUCAGGCAGGUGAAAGAGCUCAAGGAUUGUUACAAGCUGCUGAAUGAUGCUCCUUCGAGCACCGCCGGCCCUCCAGCCGUGGAUCCGCGGCUGCACGCACUUUUUGCCGAUGAGGCACACCUUGUGGGCGUCGACGGUCCAAGAGACCAUCUUGCCAAGUGGAUGUUGGAAGAAGCAAACACAUCGCCCAAACAUUGCAAGGUCUUGUCUAUUGUUGGGUUUGGUGGUUUGGGCAAAACAACGCUGGCAAAUGAGGUUUGCCGCAAGAUUCAAGGGAAGUUUGAUUGCAAGGCUUUCGUGUCGGUCUCGCAAAAACCAGAUAUAAAGAAGAUUAUCAAGGAUGUGAUCUCUCAAGUGUCAUGCCAAGGUGGAUCCACAAAAGAUACCAGUGAUUGGGAUGAAAUGAAGUAUAUUUCAGAGCUAAGAGUACUACUACAAAAUAAAAGGUAUCUCAUCAUCAUCGAUGAUGUAUGGUCUACGCAAGCAUGGCAAGCUAUCAAGUGUGCUUUUCCAGAGAAUAAUUGUUCUAGCAGAAUUAUAGCUACUACACGCAUCAUUGAAGUAGCAAAGUCAUGUUGUCCAGACGAUGAUGACCGUGUGUAUCAAUUGGAAGCCCUAAGUGAUCUCCACUCCAGAAGAUUGUUUUUCAAAAGAUUAUUUGGCUCUGAGGAACAUUGCCCUGACAUGUUGAAGGAAGUUUCUAAUAAAAUCCUAAAGAAAUGUGGAGGCCUACCAUUGGCAAUUAUCAGCAUAUCUGGUUUGCUAGCAAACCGACCAGCCAUCAAGGAAGAAUGGGAGAAGGUUAAGAGGUCAAUUGGUACUGCACUGGAGAAAACUAACAGUCUAGAGGGCAUGAGUAGCAUACUAUCUCUUAGCUACAAUGAUCUUGCACCUCGUCUCAAGACUUGCUUGCUGUACCUAAGUUUGUUUCCCGAAGACCAUGUGAUUGACAGAGAUAGGCUAGUGAGGCGAUGGAUCGCAGAAGGCUUCAUCUCUGAAUAUCGUGGACAGAGCAAGCAAGAGGUUGCGGAGACUUACUUCUAUGAGCUGAUCAAUAAAAGCAUGGUCCAACCGGUGGGCAUUUGGUAUGAUGGAAAGGUCCAUGCCUGUCGAGUCCAUGAUAUGAUGCUCGAAAUUAUUAUUUCAAAAUCAGCUGAAGAUAAUUUUACCACUGUGGUAGGUGGAGGUCAAACUAGUUUGGCCAAUCAUCAAGGUUCAAUUCGGCGGCUAUCAAUCCAGCACAUUGACAAGAAACUUGCAUCUGAACUGGCAAAUGUAGAUCUAAGCCAUGUUCGAACUUUGAUAGUAAUGCCAUCAUGUUGCGUCACACACUUGCCCAGCCUUGAUCGGUUUGAAGCUUUACGUGUUCUGGAUUUUGAAGGUUGUGGGGAUUUAAAGGACUAUGAUAUGAAAGGAAUGGAAAAAUUAUUCCAGCUAAAGUACCUCAGCUUUAGGGGCACAGGUAUAUCAAAGCUGCCAUCAGGGAUCGUCAUGCUAGGUAAUCUAGAGACACUAGAUCUUAGGAAUACACAUGUGCGUGAGUUGCCUGCUGGAAUUACUCGGCUCACUACACUACAACACCUAAUUGGAUAUCUGAACAAACUACCAAACGGGAUUGGGGGCAUGAGGAAUUUACAGGAGAUGCCAAUAUUUGUUAUUAUCUCGCAAGAAACAGAUGUGUUGGAGGAUCUCCGGAACCUGACAAGUUUGGAGGAACUCUAUGUGGAUCUUGGUGAUGAAGUCUCUUGCGAGGACAAGAGAUGUGAACAAGAGGCGUUCCUCUCCUCACUGUGCAAGCUUGGCACCUGCAAACUCUGUGAUUUGGAAAUACGAGCAUACCGUGGUUCCCUCGACUUCUUAGAUUCCUGGUCGCCUCUGCCAUCUUCUCUUCAAAGGUUUUCGGCGACCAGCCCCGAUUCGUUGACAAAUGUUCCAAAGUGGAUUACACCAGCACUCACCAACCUUGCCAACCUGAGCAUCAGCUUAACUGAACUGACGGAAGAUGGGCUGCUUGCUCUUAGGAAGCUCCCAUCCUUACUUCGCCUGACACUACGGCCAUCAAAGAAGUUUUUUGGCACAGUCCAAGCCACUUCUUUCCCAAACCUGAAGGUGCUUUACUUUGGAAAACCUGAACAAUUAUAUGUUUCGUUCGUGAAAGAGUCUGCACCCAAGCUUGAGGAACUUAUCAACAUGCCAUUCAGUGUGUCGGCUGCAAAAGCUGAUAAAUUCUAUUUAGGCAUACAUCAUCUCCCAUGUCUCAAAUUAGCUCACAUAGUGCUUGAUAAGAAAGAGGCGACACGGUCAGAAUGCAAGGCUGCUGCUGCUGCGAUCAGGAAAGAAGCAGGUGCCAAUUCCAACCACCCUGCAGUUUAUUUUGAGGGGGAACCAGCGGAAGAGACUGGUGGUAUCGCUGAUGAGGAUUAA
rnacentral:rRNA from 1 species